GCAUGACUAAGCCGCUUCUGGCGAACCAGAGCAGCGCACGGAAACGCCAUUUACCUUCCUGCCAGAGCGGUACCUAUUUAUCUACUUGCACUUUGACGUGCUUUCAAACUGCUAGGUUGGCAGGAGCAGGGACUGAACAACGGGAGCUCACCCUGUCACGGGGAUUCGAACCGCCGACCUUCUGAUCGGCAAGUUCUAGGCUCUGUGGUUUAGACCACAGCGCCACUGUUUGAGGUGGUGUGAAAAUAGUGGAGGUUUAAGCCAUAAACGAGAACUGGGCAACGGAUCUGGUUGUCACAGUCCGGUCUAUGGGCGAUCAAAGUCCCGGCUGAUGACGUCAGGACCGGGGGCAAGAUGGCGAGGUGGGAGCAGGAACGAGAGUCCAGAAGCCAGGGGUCCGAGAGUCAGGAAGCAGGAAGUCACGAAGUGAAGGGUCCGAGGGUUGAGAAGCAACGACUCACGAAGUCAAGGGUCCAAGGAUCAGGAAGCAAGAAGCCAAAGACAGCAAGGCAAGAAACGUGUUGCUGUGGCAAAGAGCUGAAGGGAACUGCUGACCUUAUAUCCCUUCCCAGCUCUUGCCACCAGGUGCAGUGAGUUGCCAAGCAGCCUCACCUGUGCGGCCGCGCCUUGCCUCUUCAGAAUGAACUUAGGAAGGCCCUAGUCCUGCGAAGCCCUACUGGUCACAGGGCCUGGCUCCUGCACGCACUCCUGACACUGGUGUGAACUACUCCUGCUCUCCACAUCAAGAACAAAUGAGCAGAAGGGUGGGAGACCCAGUACAGAUAUAUAGCUGGAACCAAGAAAAUGAGUUUUUAAUGAAUGGGGAGGUGCUUCUUUGCCUCCACUGGGGAGUGAUUUGCCCAUCGCCUGUGUGAUUUCUAGCUCUCCGUCUAAUGAAUCGUAAUUCUGCGUCAGACACCCCUGCUGCGUCUUCAGCCCCAUCAGGCUUCGCAGUCACAUCAAGUGUGACAACUGCUGAGUCUGCGUGUGUCACUCGGCUCUCGAGGAAACCCCAAGCUGGCAGUAGUGGCUUCUCUCUCUCUCUCUCGGCACGCCAGCUGCGCCCAGCGACACCUAGCUGCGUCACCACCCUCCAGUUUGCUGGAGAUUGCCCACAGCAUGGGAAGAGUUGAUGUGGGGAAGGGAAGGAUUUGAUGCACAGCAGAUGGAAAGUCUGGUCCCUGGAGCGCCUGAUUAACCUCUGCAAUUCACUGGGCAGGGGCAACAGGUCUUAAGUGUUGAUUUCCCGUGUGGCAGGGGAGGCAGGUGGCGGCGUGGUUUGGCGAGAGCUGCACUUGAGACUGCAGUCGGCAUUAUCAGAGCAGGACUGCGCGGUUCUCCUGUCAGGAUAAUUCCACACAUACACACACACACACCAUUUUCUGAUUGUGCCGUAGAUGUCCACAGGAUCGAAGAUGGCAGGAUCCCCAGGGACGUGCUCUACGGGGAGCUGGCUCCAGGCACCAGGCCUGUUGGCAGAACUCUGCAUUACCAAGAUGCCUGCAAACAUAAUAAUAAUAAUAAUAAUAAUAAUAAUAAUAAUAAUAAUAAUUUAUUUGUACCACGCCCAUCUGGCUGGGUUUUCCCAGCCACUCUGGGCAGCUUCCAACAAAGAUGAAAAAUACAUUAAAAUGUCACACAUUAAAAACUUCCCUAAAGAGGGCUGCCUUCAGAUGUCUUCUAAAUGUCAAGUAGUUUUUUAUCUCUUUGACAUCUGAUAGGAGGGUGUUCCACAGGGCAGGUGCCACCACUGAGAAGGCCCUCUGCCUGGUUCCCUGUAACCUCCCUUCUCGCAAUGAGGGAACUGCCAGAAGGCCCUCGGAGCUGGACCUCAGUGUCCGGGCAGAACGAUGGGGGUGGAGACGCUCCUUCAGGUAUACUGGACUGAGGUCGUUUAGAGCUGUAAAGGUCAGCACCAACACUUUGAAUUGUGCUUGGAAACGUGUGUGUGACGCACAUGUGCUAUGCAUAACCAACAAAGCGAAGUUAUUAUUUGCAUCUUUGCAACCUGCUUUCACUCAGUUUUAGAGCAGCUUCCUGCAAACACAGAACACGAUCCUUCACUCUAUGCAAAUUAAAUUGGAAUCGGGGAAAAAGCAAAAGCCUAAUGAAACUGGAUUUGAACUAAAAGAAAAUAAAAUCCUGCCAAUCUGCUGAGACUCACAAAUCAGCUGAAAGAGAUCCACAAAUUACAUUUAAAGCAUACGGCUUUACCCAAAGAAUUUUGGGAACUGUAACUGACCCGUCACUGAACUACAAUCCCCCGUGCCCGGUAAAAACUAAGGUUCCCAGGAUUAUUUUUUGCAGAAGGUAAAGGGUAAAGGGGACCCUUGACCAUUAGGUCCAGUCGUGGCCGACUCUGGGGUUGCGGCGCUCAUCUCACUUUAUUGGUCAAGGGAGCCGGCGUACAGCUUCCGGGUCAUGUGGCCAGCAUGACGAAGCCGCUUCUGGCGAACCAGAGCAGUGCACGGAAACACCGUUUACCUUCCUGCCAGAGCGGUACCUAUUUAUCUACUUGCACUUUAACAUGCUUUCGAACUGCUAGGUUGGCAGGAGCAGGGACUGAGCAACGGGAGCUCACCCCGUCGCGGGGAUUCGAACUGCCGACCUUCUGAUUGGCAAGUCCUAGGCUCUGUGGUUUAACCCACAGCGCCACCCGCGUCCCUCUUUGCAGAAAGCCAUGUGCUUUAAGCAGGUGUUGUGGACGUGACCAUAGAAGGAGGCUUACAAUGACUGCAAGGGGGGACUUCUUACUUAUAUCAUAUCAACUGUUGGUUCCUUUAACCAGAGCAAUGCAUCUUUGUACUAUAAAGGUUCCUGUUUUUUUCUGGGUGCUUCCCUCCUGGCUGUGUUGAUGCUACAAGUAAAAGCACCAGUGACCCCCACGAUGCCGAGGUCACAGAAUCCUGCAGUUGUACGUUCGGGUUUUCAUUUCCACUCCCGGCAUCACCUUACAGGACCUGACAAAGACCUCAUUGGGAUUCCAGAAGCUUCGCCAAGAGCGGCAGGUUGCAAGGAAGCUGCCUCGACGCUGCCACCAUGUGGCACCAGACCGUGCCUGCCCCACAACCUCCUCCUCCUCCUCUAUGCUAGAAAGUGAAUUAAGGUCGCUUUCGGAUUGUCAGCACUUGGCAGGAGCAAAUUCAGCUGUGCACCAGAAAUCCAGGUUUGCACAAUUGAAAUGAUUUAAGCGCGACAAGCCUGCUUUCGGGGGGGUGAGAAAUGGACAAUGGAGCUUUUGCAAAUAAAGGCCCAUCCAAACUGGUGUUUUAUCACAGGUGUGUUCUGCAACAUAUGCUUGACACAGAUCUGAUGGCUACGGUAUUUGCAAUUAGUUGCGUUGCAGAAGGUGUGCUGGGGAGACCACACAUUCAAGAAACGCAAAAUAACUUUUGCUAGGUUUCAAUAACAAAAACAAAAACUCCUUUUGCACUAAAUUACAAUACAGUGGUACCUCGGGUUAAGUACUUAACUCGUUCUGGAGGUCCAUUCUUAACAUGAAACUGUUCUUAACCUGAAGCACCACUUUAGCUAAUGGGGCCUCUUGCUGCUGCUGCGCCACCGCUGCACGAUUUCUGUUCUCAUCCUGAAGCAAAGUUCUUAACCUGAGGUACUAUUUCUGGGUUAGCGGAGUCUGUAACCUGAAGCGUCUGUAACCCAAGGUACCACUGUAUAUCAAUAAGCAUGACCCAUCCACCAGGGUACUGAGAGCUACAUGCUGCUCUUUAUAUACCAUACCCGACUGCUUAAUUACCACAACUUAACAGCACCUGCUAUAAUGUUUAACAGACUACUGUAUUUUAAUACUUUGUUGGAAGCCGCCCAGAGUGGCUGGGGAAACCCAGCCAGAUGGGCAGGGUAUAAAUAAUAAAUUAUUAUUAUUAUUACUAUACUGCUUCACAGCUGUAAAACUAGGUCACGUUAUUUGCUCUGGCCUUUAAAGAAAUACACAUCUUGUGGAACAAUAAUGAACCUUCAAAUUUAAGGAGACCAUUCAACAAGAUAAUAGGUAGCUCAGUCGGUUAGAAUUCAUACCCUCCAACAUUUCUCAGAUGAAAACUGGGACGUCCCAUUCCAUAAUGAUAAUUUUGCUAUUUAUACUCCACAGAUCUUACUGGACACUCUGGGCAGCUUCCAACAUAUAUAAAAACAUAAUAAAACACUAAAAACAUUAAAAAGGUUGCCUUCGGACAGCUCGGGGGUCAGAUAACCCCACACCCUCCAACAUUUCCCCAAUGAAAAUAGGGACAUCCUAAGCAAAAGUGGGACGUUCCGGGAUCAAAUCAGAAACCAGGACGGCUUCUCUAAAUCAGGGAUGGCCCUGGAAAAUGGGGACACUUGGAGGGUCUGAGGAUGUGGUCUGAUAAGGCCAGGGUUGCAGGUUCGAUUCCCAUAUGGGACGGCUGCAUAUUCCUGCGUCACAGGGCAUUGGUCUAAAUCAGGGGUCAGCAAACUUUUUCAGCAGGGGGCCAGUCCACUGUCCCUCAGACCUUGUGGGGGCUGGACUAUAAUUUGGAGGAAAAAAAGUUCCUACGCCCCACAAAUAACCCAGAGAUGCAUUUUAAAUAAAAGGGCACAUUCUACUCAUGUAAAAACAUGCUGAUUCCCGGACCGUCCGCAGGCUGGGUUGAGAAGACAUUUGGGUUGGAUCUGGCCCCUGGGCCUUAGUUUGCCUACCCAUGGUCUAAAUCCUCAGGGUUCCUUCCAACUCUUUGAUUCUAUGAUUAUAGAGUGCAUUAGUGGUGAAUUUAUGCUGCUUUAAGGUGAUUUAAUGCUCUUGCAAAACAAACCAAUUUUCCCCUGCCAAAAAUACCUUCCUCUUCUUCUUUUAUAAUGUAUAUAAAGCAGAGAGAACAAUGAUUGAAAGAUGAAAAACGUUUAAAAUGAGUAGUUGCACAUGAGUUGAAAUAACGAAGUCAAAGUAAAAACUAUCUUUCCCCCCCCCCCCAGGUCAUCAGGUAUAGUUCCAGAUUUCCCAGGCUUGUGAUGAACUUGAGAGCGAUGGUUCCGUUGUACUGCAUGUUUCAUAGAGGAAUGCCAAAUCAUACACAAAGUUUCUGGUCUGGAAGUUCCAGUCGAAAUCUCUUUUUUUAAAAAAAUAAUAUUUAUUAUUUUUCCAAAAACUUAAACACUAAAAAGACAAUACAAUACAAUACAUUAAAUUAACAAAACAGAAACAAUAAAAUAAAUCAAACAAUUUCAUUAUCCCAUCUUUCAUUCACUUAUUUCCACGACCUCCUCACACCUCCCUUUUUGUAUUCCACUUCUGUUAAUUAUUUCAGCAAUUCCUUUCCAUCUUCCUCUGUUUUCUAUCCUAUAAUUAUCUUAACUCAUUCUAACCUUAUUUUUUCCUUUAAUGCUCUAUUAACCUAUCUGUACUUAAUUCCUUAUAACAUUUCUACUAAAGCCAUUUAACUUCAUUCCAACAUUUUUCUAACAUUCAUUAAUUUUACAGUAUUUCUGUAAAUAGUCUUUAAAUUUUUUCCAAUCUUCUUCCACCGACUCUUCUCCCUGGUCUCGGAUUCUGCCAGUCAUUUCCGCCAGUUCCAUAUAGUCCAUCAACUUCAUCUGCCAUUCUUCCCGGGUGGGUAAAUCUUGUGUCUUCCAAUAUUUUGCGAUGAGUAUCCUUGCUGCUGUUGUUGCAUACAUAAAGAAAGUUCUGUCCUUCUUUGACACCAAUUGGCCGACCAUGCCCAGGAGAAAAGCCUCUGGUUUCUUCAAAAAGGUAUAUUUAAAUACCUUUUUCAUUUCAUUAUAAAUCAUCUCCCAGAAUGUCUUAAUCCUUGGGCAUGUCCACCAAAGGUGAAAGAAUGUGCCUUCAGUCUCGUUACAUUUCCAACAUUUAUUUUCGGGCAAAUGGUAAAUUUUUGCAAGCUUGACUGGUGUCAUGUACCACCUAUAAAUCAUUUUCAUUAAGUUUUCUCUUAGGGCAUUACAUGCCGUAAAUUUCAUACCUGUGGUCCAUAACUGUUCCCAGUCAGCCAUCAUUAUGUUAUGUCCAACAUCUUGUGCCCAUUUAAUCAUAGCUGAUUUCACCGUUUCAUCCUGAGUGUUCCAUUUCAACAGCAAGUUAUACAUUUUUGACAAAUUCUUAAUUUUUGAAUCUAACAAUUCUGUUUCCAAUUUUGAUUUUUCCACCUGGAAGCCAACUUUUUUGUCCAGAUUGUAUGCCUCCAUUAUUUGAUAAUAAUGGAGCCAAUCUGGCACUCUGUUUUUCAGUUUUUCAAAGCUCUGCAAUUUUAGUCUGUCUCCAUCUUGUUCCAAAAUUUCCCAAUAUUUCGGCCAUUUGGCCUCCAUACUGAGUUUUUUCUGUGCCUUCGCUUCCAUUGGUGACAACCAUCUUGGGGUUUUCUUUCCUAAGAAAUCUUUAUAUCUUAUCCAAACAUUAAACAAUGCUUUUCUAACAAUAUGAUUUUUAAACGCUUUAUGUACUUUUACCUUAUCGUACCACAAAUAUGCAUGCCAACCAAAUACAUUAUUGAAACCUUCUAAAUCCAACACGUCAGUGUUUUCAAGAAGCAGCCAUUCUCUCAGCCAGCAAAAAGCCGCUGAUUCAUAAUAAAGUUUGAAGUCUGGCAGGGCAAAUCCACCUCUUUCUUUAGCAUCAGUUAAUAUCUUAAAUUUUAUUCGAGGCUUCUUGCCCUGCCAAACAAAUCUGGAAAUAUCUUUCUGCCACUUCUUGAAACAAUCCAUCUUAUCCAAAAUUUGUAAUGUUUGAAACAAAAACAACAUCCUUGGCAGCACAUUCAUUUUUAUCACAGCAAUUCGGCCUAACAAUAACUUCAAAUUUGACCAUAUUUCUAAGUCCUUUUUCACUUCAAUCCAACAUUUUUCAUAAUUAUCCUUAAAUAGAUUCACAUUUUUAGCAGUCAUGUUAACCCCUAAAUAUUUCACUUUCUUAACCAGUGUUAGUCCUGUCUCUUCCUGAAACUUCUCUCUCUCAUUCACAGUUAAAUUUUUCUCUAAGACCUUAGUUUUUGUCUUAUUCAGCUUGAAACCUGCUACUUGUCCAAAUUCUUGAAUCAGUUCCAAUACCCUUUUGUGCUGGAUUCUGGCUCCUGUAAGGUCAAUACUAAAUCAUCAGCAAAUGCUUUCAGUUUAUACUGUUUAGCUCCCACUUGUAUACCUUUGACCUCUUGGUCCUUUCUUAUCAUGUUUAACAAAACCUCAAGGACCGAUAUAAAAAGCAGUGGAGAAAUUGGGCAACCUUGUCGUGUCCCUUUCUCAAUCUUAAACUCUUCUGUCACUACCUUGUUCACAAUUAAUUUUGCCUUUUGUUCUGAAUAAAUUGCACCUAUACCAUUUUCAAUGGAUUAUAAAAUUUUUGCAGAUAUUUUGGCUAAAAGAUUGAAAAAGGUGUUAGUAGAAGAAAUUCAUAAAGAUCAAGCGGGCUUUCUCCCGGGCAGACAUUUGUCUGACAAUAUGAGGAAUAUAAUUAAUAUUCUAGAAAAACCUCAAGUGAAUAUCAAUACUAAGGCUGUCUUGAUAUUUGUGGACGCGGAGAAAGCCUUUGACAACAUCUCCUGGAGCUUUAUGAAGAAGAAUCUACAGGGGAUGGGGGUAGGUCAAGGUUCCAGUCGAAAUCUCAAAUGAUGUGUGAUUCUCUCCAUCACAGCUGCAUUGCAGAGUGAGUGGUACUAAGGACUCAGAAACAACCAGACUUUGGAGGAUAAGGAAAGAGACUGGAAGAGACGCAGGGAAGCACUUCCUUGAUGCAACAUGGCCUAACUUACUUGCAAGUGAAACAGAACACUCAAUAAAUUGCUGGCAUAGUCUCAUAAAGUCCCCUUGCAAAUUUUGUGCAAGCAAAUCGCGACAGACGUCUCAACAAACAGGUCAUCUAUGGUGGUUUAGAGUGACCUUGUUUAGU